rnacentral:lncRNA from 1 species
CAAAGACCCAGAACCAUAUACAGACCAGCGCUCUGAAAGUUGGGUUAAUAAACACUUUCCUGCGGAUAUAUGGUCUAAAGUUUCAACCCACAUAAUGACGAAAUGAGCGGGCAACAGGGUCCGGAAGGAGUCGGGCGGUGGGAAGACGGCAGUAACUGAUGUUUUGUUUGAAACUGCUGGCGAGUCGGGUGAAGAUGAAAGCGCAGAGAGUGAGGAGUGGUUUACAGUGGCGAAAAAGAAAGGAAACAAGAGAAGUUAAAGUUGUGGUGGAAAGCCCUAGACUCAUUUUUAGUUGGAAUGAGGGUUUUGGACCAAUGUAACCUGGGAUAUCCGUUUGAAGUGUCGAUAAAUGUAAUGGAAGCGUUGGGUGAAGUGAGGUCAAUGGAAGUCACAAGAAGUGUGCUUAUUUAGGUUUUUAGUGUGUCCGAAGAGCAGAAGUGCCUUAAGAAGAUAUAUUUGUGGAAUCUUUAAUGUAGGAUCUUCAAAGCUGUGCACCUAUCAAGGGGGUUACCACUGGGGUGGAGCAUAAAGUGUGUGCAGAGGUAGUACCUGAGGACAUAUGGACUUAUGUAGAGUGGUUGGGGCACGUUGACUGACCUGUAUGGUAGAUGGAGUGAAGACAUUCUAUUUUUGUAUGAUGUCAUCGCCCAAUGGUUAUUUGUUUCUAUAGUUUACCACCCGUACAGUAGGUGCCGGCAUGCAUCUCCAAUGAAUAUUUGUGGACUGCCAUAAUACCAUACAUUUUUUUCUGCAUGUUGAUGAUUGAUUUAUGGUGAUCAGUGUUGUAAAGUAACAAAAUAAAAAAUAC